GAUCUCGUAGCUUAGUUGGUAGAGCAUUGGACUAGUAUCCCAAAGGUCGCGGGUUCCGAUUCCCACCGUGGUCA